rnacentral:lncRNA from 1 species
CUUUCGUUCCGCAGCCAAGCCCUUGAUCCCAGAUGCUCGUGCCCAGCACCUGCAGCUUGCAGGUGCAGCUCCCUUUAGUUGGGCAUACUCGGUUGCAUGGUCUCUGCCAGGAACAAGCAACACUACCUGGGUUUUAAAACUGCUCUUCAGAGUACAGCUAGUAAUAUCUCACCUAACUUCAUCCAUGGUGGAGAAUCUUUUGGAAAAACCAAAUUUGUGUUCCUGGGCUCAUCUUUGAGCCCACAGCUGAAGGCUAACACUGGCUCACUGAGAAAACUGUCUACAUGCCACUAACCUUUGCAGCCAUGGAGCUCAACCACCCCUGCCCACAUCCAGCCCACAUGCAGCCCACAGAGCGCCGGCCCACUCUCACUUGUCGAAAGAUGAAACUCGCCAGGGGCUCAUCCAAGCAGGGAUGGUGGUCAAUGAAAGCAAAGAGGUCCAUGCCAGAGCCGUGCUUUUCCAUCACCAGCUGGAAGAACUCUUGGUUUUCGAAUAUAUCCAGAACCUGAAAAGAGACAAGGCCAGGUCCAGUUUUGUCUAAAAACAACUCCAGUCAACAGAUUGUUAAAGAAGCGCCAUGACAGCACGCAGAGAAUCACCAUCUACCUUGAUUAUGUUGGCAUGGUCCACCUUGGACAGAAUUGCAAUCUCUAAAGUAACUCUUCCAAGUUUGGGAUCCUCAAUCCAGCAAUCCUCUAAAACCUUCUCCUUCUUAAUAAACUUCACCACCACCUAUAUGGGAGAAGAGCAGAGUCCUCUACCAUCUGUUAAGCCCUGUGCCCACCACUGGCUUUCUAUCUCCCCAAGACCCAUUAGCCAUGUAAAAAGAAUGUAGCAAGUCCCUGCAACAGGAGAAAAGGAGGAGGAAGCAGCUGAAUAAAAAGGCUGGCAAUUUCUA